rnacentral:rRNA from 1 species
AGAGUUUGAUCCUGGCUCAGAGUGAACGCUAGCGGCGUGGUUAAGACAUGCAAGUCGAGCGGGAUCAUGUUCAUUGAAGCUUCGGUUGAUUUGAGCAUGUGAGAGCAGCAAACGGGUGCGUAACACGUAAGCAACCUACCCUGAAGCGGGGGAUAGCCUACCGAAAGGUGGGAUAAUACCGCAUGUGGAAGCAUAACUCAUGUUAUGCUCUCUAAAGUUUGAAAUGACACUUCAGGAGGGGCUUGCGGCCUAUCAGCUUGUUGGUGAGGUAACGGCUCACCAAGGCUAAGACGGGUAGCUGGUCUGAGAGGAUGAUCAGCCACACUGGGACUGAGAUACGGCCCAGACACCUACGGGUGGCAGCAGUUUCGAAUCAUUCACAAUGGGCGCAAGCCUGAUGGUGCAACGCCGCGUGGGGGAUGACGGCCUUCGGGUUGUAAACCCCUGUCACCGAGGAACAAAAAACAGGUUCAUAGCCUGUCUUGAGUUAACUCGGAGAGGAAGAGGUGGCUAACUCCGUGCCAGCAGCCGCGGUAAUACGGAGACCUCGAGCGUUACUCGGAUUUACUGGGCGUAAAGGGUGUGUAGGUUGUCGUAUAUGUCGGAUGUGAAAUCCCGGGGCUUAACUCCGGAACUGCGUUCGAAACUAUACGACUAGAGACUCGGAGGGGUGAGCGGAAUUCCAGGUGUAGCGGUGAAAUGCGUAGAUAUCUGGAGGAACACCAAUGGCGAAGGCAGCUCACUGGACGAGAUCUGACACUCAAGCACGAAAGCGUGGGGAGCAAAAGGGAUUAGAUACCCCUGUAGUCCACGCCGUAAACUUUGUACACUAGGUUUUGGCUGAUUCGACCCGGUCAGAGCCUAAGCUAACGUGAUAAGUGUACCGCCUGAGGACUACGGCCGCAAGGCUAAAACUCAAAAUUGACGGGGGCCCGCACAAGCGGUGGAGCAUGUGGCUUAAUUCGAUGCAACGCGAAGAACCUUACCUAGCCUUGACAUGAUAGGAUCAACCGGUGAAAGCCGGGGCUUGCCUUCGGGUGUAACUAUCACAGGUGCUGCAUGGCUGUCGUCAGCUCGUGUCGUGAGAUGUUCGGUUAAGUCCGGCAACGAGCGCAACCCUCGCCUUUAGUUGCCAGCGGGUAAUGCCGGGGACUCUAAAGGGACAAACCUCUAUUCGAGGUGGGAAGGUGGGGAUGAUGUCAAGUCAGUAUGGCCCUUAUGGCUAGGGCUGCACACGUGCUACAAUGCCUGGUACAAUGGGACGCAAUACCGCGAGGUGGAGCAAACCCUCAAAAUCAGGCCCAGUUCGGAUUGGAGUCUGCAACUCGACUCCAUGAAGCUGGAAUCGCUAGUAAAGGCGCAUCAGCAACGGCGCCUUGAAUACGUUCCCGGGCCUUGUACACACCGCCCGUCAAGUCAUGAAAGCCGGUUUUACCCAACGUGCGUGAGCUAACCGCAAGGAGGCAGCGCCCUAAGGUGAGGCUGGUGAUUGGGACUAAGUCGUAACAAGGUA